GGAGGGCUUUAUGCAGUCGAACGGCAGCGCGGACUUCGGUCUGGCGGCGAGUGGCGAACGGGUGAGUAAUAUAUCGGAACGUGCCCAGUAGCGGGGGAUAACUACGCGAAAGCGUGGCUAAUACCGCAUACGCCCUACGGGGGAAAGGGGGGGAUCGCAAGACCUCUCACUAUUGGAGCGGCCGAUAUCAGAUUAGCUAGUUGGUGAGGUAAAGGCUCACCAAGGCGACGAUCUGUAGCUGGUUUGAGAGGACGACCAGCCACACUGGGACUGAGACACGGCCCAGACUCCUACGGGAGGCAGCAGUGGGGAAUUUUGGACAAUGGGGGAAACCCUGAUCCAGCCAUCCCGCGUGUGCGAUGAAGGCCUUCGGGUUGUAAAGCACUUUUGGCAGGGAAGAAACGGCGCUGACUAAUAUUCAGCGUCACUGACGGUACCUGCAGAAUAAGCACCGGCUAACUACGUGCCAGCAGCCGCGGUAAUACGUAGGGUGCAAGCGUUAAUCGGAAUUACUGGGCGUAAAGCGUGCGCAGGCGGUUCGGAAAGAAAGAUGUGAAAUCCCAGAGCUUAACUUUGGAACUGCAUUUUUAACUCCCGAGCUAGAGUAUGUCAGAGGGGGGUAGAAUUCCACGUGUAGCAGUGAAAUGCGUAGAGAUGUGGAGGAAUACCGAUGGCGAAGGCAGCCCCCUGGGAUAAUACUGACGCUCAUGCACGAAAGCGUGGGGAGCAAACAGGAUUAGAUACCCUGGUAGUCCACGCCCUAAACGAUGUCAACUAGCUGUUGGGGCCUUCGGGCCUUAGUAGCGCAGCUAACGCGUGAAGUUGACCGCCUGGGGAGUACGGUCGCAAGAUUAAAACUCAAAGGAAUUGACGGGGACCCGCACAAGCGGUGGAUGAUGUGGAUUAAUUCGAUGCAACGCGAAAAACCUUACCUACCCUUGACAUGUCUGGAAUCCUUAAGRGAUUAGGGAGUGCUCGCAAGAGAACCGGAACACAGGUGCUGCAUGGCUGUCGUCAGCUCGUUCUUGAAAUGUUGGGUUAAGUCCCGCACCGAGCCSCACCCUUGUCAUUAGUUGCUACCA
rnacentral:rRNA from 1 species